rnacentral:rRNA from 1 species
AUUGAACGCUGGCGGCGGGCCUAACACAUGCAAGUCGAACGAGGGGCGGACGGGGGAGUAAUGGCUGGUAACAUGCCCGAAGGAGAGGGAUAACUGCUGGAAACGGUAGCGAAUACGGAGUAACAUCGGAUGUGCCCAGAUGGGGUUAGCUAGUAGGUGGGGGAACGGCUCACCUAGGCGACGAUCCCUAGCCGGUCUGAGAGGAUGAACAGCCACACUGGAACUGAGACACGGUCCAGACUCCUACGGGAGGCAGCAGUGGGGAAUAUUGCACAAUGGGCGCAAGCCUGAUGCAGCCAUGCCGCGUGUAUGAAGAAGGCUUUCGGGUUGUAAAGCACUUUUAGCGAGGAGGCGUUACCCGCAGAAGAAGCACCGGCUAACUCCGUGCCAGCAGCCACGGUAAUUC